AGAGUUUGAUCCUGGCUCAGAACGAACUCUGGCGGCGUGGAUAAGACAUGCAAGUCGAACGAGAGAAUUGCUAGCUUGCUAAUAAUUCUCUAGUGGCGCACGGGUGAGUAACACGUGAGUAACCUGCCCCCGAGAGCGGGAUAGCCCUGGGAAACUGGGAUUAAUACCGCAUAGUAUCGAAAGAUUAAAGCAGCAAUGCGCUUGGGGAUGGGCUCGCGGCCUAUUAGUUAGUUGGUGAGGUAACGGCUCACCAAGGCGAUGACGGGUAGCCGGUCUGAGAGGAUGUCCGGCCACACUGGAACUGAGACACGGUCCAGACACCUACGGGUGGCAGCAGUCGAGAAUCAUUCACAAUGGGGGAAACCCUGAUGGUGCGACGCCGCGUGGGGGAAUGAAGGUCUUCGGAUUGUAAACCCCUGUCAUGUGGGAGCAAAUUAAAAAGAUAGUACCACAAGAGGAAGAGACGGCUAACUCUGUGCCAGCAGCCGCGGUAAUACAGAGGUCUCAAGCGUUGUUCGGAAUCACUGGGCGUAAAGCGUGCGUAGGCUGUUUCGUAAGUCGUGUGUGAAAGGCGCGGGCUCAACCCGCGGACGGCACAUGAUACUGCGAGACUAGAGUAAUGGAGGGGGAACCGGAAUUCUCGGUGUAGCAGUGAAAUGCGUAGAUAUCGAGAGGAACACUCGUGGCGAAGGCGGGUUCCUGGACAUUAACUGACGCUGAGGCACGAAGGCCAGGGGAGCGAAAGGGAUUAGAUACCCCUGUAGUCCUGGCAGUAAACGGUGCACGCUUGGUGUGCGGGGAAUCGACCCCCUGCGUGCCGGAGCUAACGCGUUAAGCGUGCCGCCUGGGGAGUACGGUCGCAAGAUUAAAACUCAAAGAAAUUGACGGGGACCCGCACAAGCGGUGGAGUAUGUGGCUUAAUUCGAUGCAACGCGAAGAACCUUACCUGGGCUUGACAUGUAAUGAACAACAUGUGAAAGCAUGCGACUCUUCGGAGGCGUUACACAGGUGCUGCAUGGCCGUCGUCAGCUCGUGUCGUGAGAUGUUUGGUUAAGUCCAGCAACGAGCGCAACCCCUGUUGCCAGUUACCAGCACGUGAAGGUGGGGACUCUGGCGAGACUGCCCAGAUCAACUGGGAGGAAGGUGGGGACGACGUCAGGUCAGUAUGGCCCUUAUGCCCAGGGCUGCACACGUACUACAAUGCCCAGUACAGAGGGGGCCGAAGCCGCGAGGCGGAGGAAAUCCUAAAAACUGGGCCCAGUUCGGACUGUAGGCUGCAACCCGCCUACACGAAGCCGGAAUCGCUAGUAAUGGCGCAUCAGCUACGGCGCCGUGAAUACGUUCCCGGGUCUUGCACACACCGCCCGUCA
rnacentral:rRNA from 1 species